ensembl:miRNA MIR4509-2 microRNA 4509-2
CUUUAAUACUAUCUCAAACUAAAGGAUAUAGAAGGUUUUCCCUUUCUCUUGCCCUGAAACCUUCUGUAUCCUUUAUUUUGAGAUAGUAUUAGAA